rnacentral:pre_miRNA from 1 species
CAAAUACUCCCUCCGUCCGGAAAUACUUGUCAUCAAAAUGGAUAAAAGGAAAUGUAUCUAGACGUAUUUUAGUUUUAGAUACAUUUCUUUUUAUCCAUUUUUAUGACAAGUAUUUUUAGACGGAGGGAGUAGAAA